GCUGGGUGUAGUGGUGCAUGCCUGUAAUCCCAGUGGCUGGGAGGCUGAGGCAGGAGGAUCAUAAGUUCAAAGCCAGCAUCAGCAAAAGUAAGGCACUAAGCAACUGAGUGAGACCCUGGCUGUA
rnacentral:sRNA from 1 species